rnacentral:rRNA from 1 species
UACGUAGGGGUCCGAGCGUUGUCCGGAGUUGACUGGGCGUAAAGCGCGCGCAGGCGGCGGUGUUGGCCCGGCGUGAAAGCCCCCGGCUCAACCGGGGGAGGGUCGUCGGGGGACCGCACGCUUGAGGGCGGUAGGGGCGUGGUGGAAUGCCUGGUGUAGGUGGUGAAAUGCGUAGAGAUCAGGCAGAACACCUGGGGCGGAAGGCGGCCAGCUGGGCCGUCCCUGACGCUGAGGCGCGAAAGGCGUGGGGAGCGAACGGG